rnacentral:rRNA from 1 species
GACGAACGCUGGCGGCGUGCUUAACACAUGCAAGUCGAACGGAAAGGCCCUGCUUGCAGGGUACUCGAGUGGCGAACGGGUGAGUAACACGUGGGUGUUCUGCCCUGCACUUCGGGAUAAGCCUGGGAAACUGGGUCUAAUACCGGAUAGGAGCCAUCUUUAGUGUGAUGGUUGGAAAGUUUUUUCGGUGUAGGAUGGGCUCGCGGCCUAUCAGCUUGUUGGUGGGGUAAUGGCCUACCAAGGCGGCGACGGGUAGCCGGCCUGGGAGGGUGGACGGCCAAAUUGGGACUGAGGUACGGCCCAGACUCCUACGGGAGGGAGCAGGGGGGAAUAUUGGAAAAUGGGCGCAAGCCUGAUGCAGCGAAGCCGCGGGGGGGAUGACGGGCUUCGGGUUGGAAACUCCUUUCGCUAGGGACGAAGCUUUUUGUGACGGUACCUAGAUAAGAAGCACCGGCUAACUACGUG